ACUCGCACUCACCAACUAUGAGAUCAUGACCUGAGCUCAAGUCAUAUGCUUAACGACUGAGCCACCCAGGCACCCUGUUUAUGGUUUUUAAGGAGAUUUAGAGAGAACAAAUGAAAUGAGGAGACCUAAAUGAUUCCUCUGUAAAACAGAAAUAUUUAAGAUAUCUGGGGCAUCUGAGUGGCUCAUCAGUAGAGCAUUUGACUUUGGUUCAGGUCAUUAUCUCAUGGUUCCCUGAGUCUGAGCCCCCCAUCAGGCUCUCUACUGUCAGCACAGAGCCCGCUUUGGAUCUUCUGUCCCCCUUCUUUUUGUCCCUCCCCCACUCACACAUCCUCUCUCUCAAAAAUAAGCAUUAAAAAAAAGUGGGGGGUGGGGAGUGCCUGGGUGGCUCAGCUGGUUAAGCAUCCAACUCUUGGUUUCAGCUGAGGUCAUGAUCUCACACAACUUGUGGGUUCGAGCCCUGUGUCAGGCUCUGUGCUGACAGCGUGGGGCCUGCCUGGGAUUCUGUAUCCCUGUCUCUCUCUGCCCCUCCACCCUCAUGCUCACUCACUUUCUCUCAGAAAUAAACAUUAAAAAAUAAAAAAUUAGAAAAAUUUUUUUUAAAAAUCAGCAAAAAAACAAGGGAAAAUACUUGUUACUUUGAUAUAGUAAGUCACUUGACAGUUUUCAUUUCACAUAUUUAAACAAAGUCAAUGCUUUCUGAUUAAGUACAUCAGUAUAAUUUUGUUAUUAACAAUGUUUAGUAAAAUGUGAACUACCUCAACCAUGUCCAGCAUCUAAAAUAAUUAAAAAAAAAUUUUUCCGUUUCAGGUCAUUUGAGAAGACCAAAGGGAGAAGGCAAAUAGAACAUAAAUUUCAAUGAGAAAAAAGAAGAGAAAAUCAAGAGCACCCAACUCGGCUCCCCCCAUAUACAGAGUAUCUAACAAAGAAAAAGAGAGACAGAGACAACAGUGUGAGCAGGGAAGGGGCAGAGAGGGAGACACAGAAUCUGAAGCAGGCUCCAGGCUCUGAGCUCCAAGCUGUCAGCCCAGAGCCCGAUUUGGGGCUUGAACCCAAGAACUGCAACCGCAAGAUCAUGACCUGACCUGAGCUGAAGUUGGAUGCUUAACUGACUGAGCCACGAGCUGCUAUGUCUGCCUCAAAUGCUUGCCGUGAAACAAAGUGGUAAUCUCUACCAGCUACUUCGUGGUCUCGCCUACUCCGAGUUGUAU